AUUGAACGCUGGCGGCAUGCCUUACACAUGCAAGUCGAACGGCAGCGGGCCCUUCGGGGUGCCGGCGAGUGGCGAACGGGUGAGUAAUGCAUCGGAACGUACCCGGGAGAGGGGGAUAACCGGCCGAAAGGCUGGCUAAUACCGCAUGAACUCGGAAGAGCAAAGCGGGGGACCUUCGGGCCUCGCGCUCUCGGAGCGGCCGAUGUCCGAUUAGGCUAGUUGGUGGGGGAAAGGCCCACCAAGGCGACGAUCGGUAGCGGGUCUGAGAGGACGAUCCGCCACACUGGGACUGAGACACGGCCCAGACUCCUACGGGAGGCAGCAGUGGGGAAUCUUGGACAAUGGGCGCAAGCCUGAUCCAGCAAUGCCGCGUGGGUGAAGAAGGCCUUCGGGUUGUAAAGCCCUUUCGGCGGGGAAGAAAUCGGUCAGGCGAAUAGUCUGGCCGGAUGACGGUACCCGCAGAAGAAGCACCGGCUAACUACGUG
rnacentral:rRNA from 1 species